UGUGAAACUCCUUUUGACAGGAGGUGCAGAAAUAAACGCCUGUCUUGUGGAUGGUCUUGUGGUUGAGGAGGGAGCUAGCGUGACGAAAUGGGCUUGAGCGCAUACCCAGGAAACUGGAAGGAGCUGAGCCGCUCCAGUGCAACUUCAUGUGGUGGCGUAGGUUGGACUUGCUGGAGAAGCGUUUGGCGCAUUGCUGGCAGGAGAAGGGCUUCUCCUGGGUGUGAAUGCGCUGGUGGACGAUGAGUUGGCUAGGAGCACGAAAGGCCUUUCCACAAUCUGAGCACCGGUGGCGUUUGACCUCAGUGUGGAUGCGCCGAUGGGUCUUGAGAGCCAUCAGGUUGGAGAACUCCUUCUGACAAGAGCUGCAGAAAUAGGCACCUGUCUUGUGGACGUUCUUGUGGUUCUGGAGGGAUCCGGCAUGGCGGUAACCACGGCCGCACUGGUCACAGACAUGCAACUUGGGUGGUCUCCCUGCGCCAAUUGGUGGAUGACCUGAAAAUGUAAAAUGUAGGAAUUGUGUCAUGCCAUAAUUCUAAUAUUUCGUUUGUAUAAACAUUCAUGCUGGCUUCACAUGCACGGGGAAAAUGGGGAAACUGGGAAGUCAUAAGCCCGACAUGGUUGUGUUGAAGUUGGAACAAUUCUUAAUGAAGUAAGCUAGCUUGCUUAACAUCAACAAUAUGGUCAGACUAGCUACAUUAUACAUAAUGAUAAGGUUGUAAUUAUCAAAAACAUAUUUGUUGUCAAAGGUAAAAGGUCAGUGGUGAAACGUCACAACUUGGGUAACAAAAAUGUCUCUGUACUUGUAAUUUAGACUUGGACAGUCCUUCAAGUGAAAUUUCCCACUGGGAACUAAUGUGAAAGCUGCAUUAGAAACAGCUUCAUCAAUAAUUCUUCAACAAUUAAAGGUGCAUUCCGUAACAUUUCCACAUGCACAUAGAUCUUAAUAUAUCGGUAGUAAUAAAUUAAUACUAUUAAUUGAGAGAAAAACAAAAAGAACUGUCCGAGUGGCACGUCAUGGCUACCCUCAGUUUAUACAAAAUGCAGCGUCUUCUUGAUUCAAUAUUGGUUGUACUUUUCAGAAGUUGAAAGCCCAACAAUAUUGCAUCGACAAAAUAAUAUUUUGGACUUAUGUCAUACUCUUCAAAAUCAGAGAGGGAGUCAAAAAUAUCACUGAAAUGUUACAGAUAGCACCUUUAACAAUAAAUGGUUUUUCGGGCAAUUCACCUGAGCCUUUUCAAUAUAUAAUCAAACCAUUGGGCAAAUUGGCCUUCCCUACACUGAUGGCGUACUGAGCUUUGAGUCAAACGGUGAGGCUACAUGUGUUGUAAAUGUCAUUCCCCCACUGUACACUGCAGGCAUAAGGGUUUUUUAUGCAUUUCCACUAGCAACCAGUAUUUCAUUUGGUCGUUUACAAAGCCUUAUAACUGUACCUUUGAAUUUGGUGGAAGAAUCUGAUGUCUCAAUUUGGGAACAAAUGUAUAGCUACAGUUAAUUAUAUUCAACACGGGUGGAUCUUUAUUAAGCACAAACUAUCAUGCAUAUAUAAAAGACGAAAUGUACAUGAAAACAAAACAAACAUGGAACAGGUCAGAGUUACAUGCGUACGAUUACGGGCGAGAGAUGUGCAUCUUCAAUAUCUGGGCUAGUUUCAUAUUCAUGGUGACAAAUACACAAACAUUGGGAGACAGCAAUAUUGCAAUGUUGAUUCUACAACCCGUAGGACAAUUUACUCAAAAACCAAAUUAAAUAGUUUUCUCCCAAUACUUGAGCGUUCCUUAAUCAACCCAGACAAAAAUAUUUUAUUCCGUUAAUUUGAGCAGCCACUUGUUAGAUUAGCAUAUUAAUCUAAGAGUUUAUAGGACGCAAUUGAACAAAAUU